rnacentral:ncRNA from 1 species
AAAAGAGUAAUGAAAUUUCAAAACAAAAUAUAGAAGCUACAUGGUCACUUUUACCAGCUUAUGGUGAAAUGAAAGGGAAAAAGGAUGAUUUCAAGAAAGAAUUUAUAAUGAAAAGGGAAUUAGGUUCAGUCCUCUGACUCCAGAGCGACCAAAAUGGGCACUGCGGCGGGUCCAGUGCAGUGAUGCAAUCAUCCUGGAGAAGCUGCUUGAGUCCCUGGGGAGAGUUCUCUUUUUUGUGGACAUAGUGGGGUCACCCCGGGGAAGGGGUCCAUGCCUUUAAAAUGCUGUGGUUCCCGUAAGUUCUUACUGGCCCUUAAAAAAUACAAGGGAGAAGGUAUAAAUCUACCACCAGGCCACACACAUAUCCGCAGCAGGUGUCCAAGAUAAACAGCCUCU